AUUGAACGCUGGCGGCAUGCCUUACACAUGCAAGACGAACGGCAGCACGGGGCAACCUGGUGGCGAGUGGCGAACGGGUGAGUAAUGCAUCGGAACGUGCCAUUGAGUGGGGGAUAACGUAGCGAAAGUUGCGCUAAUACCGCAUAUUCUGUGAGCAGGAAAGCAGGGGACCGCAAGGCCUUGCGCUCUUUGAGCGGCCGAUGUCAGAUUAGCUAGUUGGUGAGGUAACGGCUUACCAAGGCGACGAUCUGUAGCGGGUCUGAGAGGAUGAUCCGCCACACUGGAACUGAGACACGGUCCAGACUCCUACGGGAGGCAGCAGUGGGGAAUUUUGGACAAUGGGCGCAAGCCUGAUCCAGCCAUGCCGCGUGAGUGAAGAAGGCCUGGUGUAAG
rnacentral:rRNA from 1 species